rnacentral:lncRNA from 1 species
UGGCGAAAUACUCGAUCAUGAUGUUUCACUGUGAUUAUUAAUGACCGAUAAGAAUGUCCAAUGACUGUUGUGUAAGCCUUGGACAGUGUCAAUAGCAAUGCCCUUCGAUACCACGAAAGAGAAGAUGGUGCAGGAGCAUCUGGAAAUCCACCGGAGCGCCUCUUUGUCUGCAUCGGGCGUAUCACAUACUUACCUGUCAAACUCAACACAAAAGACAGUAACAUACCAUGCUGCUGCUCAUGAACAGUCUACCCUCUUUCCUUAGUAUUUCGCAAUUUUUCCCUUCCCAUAAAAAUCAAAGUGUGUCAACUAGAUCCGUACAUAGUUCGAAAAUGAAGUUAAAAAUCAGAUCAAGCACCAAAAUGAGGUUAACCACACUCCCAAGGUGUUUGUUUGUAGGUGGUCACAAAUUUGUACAAACAUGGAAGACUCCAACUUACAAAGAUCAUCAUAUCAUGUCCUCUCCAAUCUCUUCUUCACCUGGUCCGCGAUCUUGAUCUGGUCAGCUGGUGCUUGAGUUUUUGCUUCUCUAAUGAAUCAUCUAUCUGGUUCCAAAAAUGGGUGGAUCUCUCUUUCCGGCAUCUUUUUUCCCACAGACACCAACAAGGUUAUAGAUCAUCAGUAUUUGCAAUGAUGCAUCCCACCAAGUUAAGGAAAAGGACCGAACCGAGAAGAAGCCACUCUUUUUAUGCUGCUAUUGCUGCUCUCGCCAGUUACAGCAGCAAAUCAUUCGAAACUUACAUUACAUAGACCCACCAGAAAUGCUCACAUA